UACAGAGGGUGCAAGCGUUGUUCGGAAUUACUGGGCGUAAAGCGUGCGUAGUCGGUAUUGAGAGUCGCGGGUGAAAUCCCAGGGCUUAACCCUGGAACUGCCUGCGAGAACUCAGUACUAGAGUGUGAGAGGGGAUAGUGGAAUACCAAGUGUAGCGGUGAAAUGCGUAGAGAUUUGGUGGAACACCGGUGGCGAAGGCGGCUAUCUGGCUCACAACUGACGAUCAGGCACGAAAGCGUGGGGAGCAAACAGG
rnacentral:rRNA from 1 species